CUGUUCGAUUGACUUCGAAUACUUGGAGCUCUUCACUAAAAUCUCUUUAUAAUAACUCAGUGCUACGAUCUGAACAAUUUAUUUGGAAAUUAUUCGUGAAGAUAAUUUGCCAAAUAGAAACGUUUUCCAUACAAACAUUUGAUUUCGAUCGUUCACUUUGUAUGGCCAAUAUCGGCGGUGCCGACAAAUGAGCAGUUUCUUGGGAAGAAAAAGAUGUGUGCUAAAAUUCCGACUAAUUUCUCAAAAACUGAGGAACUAGUUCGCGACUAUACAGACAGACGGACAUGGCUAAAUCGACUCAGCUCGCAUCCAUAGAUCAUAUAUAUAUACACUUUAUAGUGUUUCCGACGUUUUCUUCUAGGUGUUACAAACUUUGUGCUCUAGAGCCGAUUCUAAUCUGUACCAGUGCAUUUACCCGCUGGGUAUGCAUGCUGAGAUGCAAAUUUUUAUUUUAGCUCUCCCUAAUUAAUUGGAGAAAGUUAAAGAACAACUCAUUUAUAUAUACACAUAAACUUAUUGAUUGCUCUUGCAAAUAUCUGUAUAUGCCAUACUUACAUAUAUGUAUGAAUAUAUGAAUAUAGUAUACGCGUCUAUGUACAUAGUACAUACAUGCGUACGGUCAUAUAUUUAUGAGCGCGUGUGUGCGUAUCGAUCUGCGCUCAUCGUUGAUUGGUGCUUACAAUGCUUGCAGCGUAUAAUAUAAUGUAGCAGUAUGCGUUUGAUGACGUCACUACUGUCUGCACACUAUAGCGUUGUCUCUUUCAUGAAACUCUCAAUCAAACGAUAUUUGCGCGACAACAACAACUAUAGGAGUGGCUGCAGCCGAUCAAUGCUAUUUUGAGUUGGCUUUCGGCAUAGCGGCAUUAGUUGCGUUACGUUCCUGUGCAGGUUAGGAUGUGAUCUGAUUUGUUUUCGCAAAAGAUGGUGGAAAUUUGACAAUUUUUCCUAAAUAUUAUAUAUGUGUGUGCCUGUGUGUGAAAAAAUAUAAAAAAGUUUGUGUUAAUAUAAAUUAAAUAAAAAUUGGUGAAUUUUUUGGUAAUAAACUUAAUUUUGAAAGCAUUUUUACAUUUAAAUUUGCGGUGAAGUGCUGGUAGAACUCACUAAAGAAAAUGUCAAUUCGUCCGAGUUCGCCGAAAGUUUUGCUGGACAUCAGCUACAAACCGAUGCCGCAUGCAAUGGACAUGCAGGAUAAUGUGAUUAAAUUGAUCAAAAUGGAGCCACAAGCCUACGAAUAUCUGCACAACAUGCAAAUGCAACAGGAUAUUGUCGCACACCAACACCAACAACAACAACACACGCUCAGCGGUUCGUUUUAUCACAGCACGAAUGGAGCGCAGGCGUCGCGCUUGGCUCCCACACAAGCGCCACCGAUGCACACACAACGCCACAUAGUGGAGCCAACGGAUUUCGCUUAUGGCGGCAACAGCGCUGAGGUGGACCCCACCGACUAUCAUAUGCAAAGCUCGGAAAUGCUCAACAACUGCAGCGCAAACACAACGCCACUGACUUUUGGUCAUAGCGCGGAGGGGAACGCCGCUAGCGCAACAACAACAACAACAAAUAUGGGUAAAGAAUUAAAUAAUAAUUAUAAUCUGCAAAAUGGCGCGUGCAACGGCAUGACCGCGCAGCUGGUGGGUGUGAACAAGCGGAAUAGAGGUGAAUUCGAGAGCGCGGAUCGCGAACUUAUGACCGAGACUAAGAAACCGCAUUUACAGCUGACGAACGAGCAACAGCAAUCACAACAACAUCAGCAAUCACAACAACAGCAAGCGCACUUCAUACACGCGCAGGAUACGCCCAGAUAUGUCUUGGAUUAUCUGCCAACAACGGUGACCGAUGUCAAUUCUAAUAUUAGCGCGCCCAACAACAAUGCGGACAGCAAUAGCAAUAGCAACAGCAGCAGCGGCGCGUCGCAGUUUGAAUUCGCCGCACAGGAAAUGUGUGAAAAUAGUGGGGAUAAUUUCAAAUAUGCCUAUCAGCAGCAGCAGCCGCAUGGACAACAACAACAGCAAUCACAACCACAACAACAACAUCACCAGCAGCAAUCAACACACCAAUCACUACAGCAACAACCGUUGCAACACGCGUUAGCUCCAUCAACAACAACACCGCCGCACAACGUGCCACCAACUAACGGUAUUUUCAGUUUAAAACCUGAAAUCGGCAAGGAUUUAGGGCAUGCGCUCACACACGACGCGCCGGCACUAACACAAAUCCACGCGCAGGCGCCGAAUAUUGGCAAAAAUCUCACAACACACUAUGACUUUACGCACUCGAUGAAGAGCAACAACUCCGAAGGCGAUGAUUUGGAAUUUAUGCGCAUAAAUGGUGAUAAUCAUGAAAAUUGCGAUGCCAGCUAUGAUUACACCAAUGAUGAUUUGUUAGACAUACGCACGGACUCGUUGUCCGACAAUGCAGACGCCGUAACAAAACAUUUCCGCAAACCGCGACGACGUACGCGUCGAAAAUCGAGCCGUUGCGAGGAUGCCGAUGAGUUUCACAAUCAACGCGUUAUGGCCAAUGUGCGCGAGCGCCAGCGCACGCAGAGUCUGAAUGACGCGUUCAAGGCGCUGCAGCAGAUCAUACCGACACUGCCCAGCGAUAAGCUGAGUAAAAUACAAACGUUGAAGCUGGCGACCAGGUGAGUGGAGUGGACUGAAGUGGGUGUGGCUUUUGAGGUAGAGGGAAAAGUUUAUUGUGUGUAUAAUGCCAGGUUUACUUGGUGUCCUUGUAAUGAUUAAAAAGUGUUUGUGAAAGAGAAAGGCAGACAAAUAUUACAUGAAAAUUGAAUAUGAUUUAUAUGUUCACAUGGGUUUGAGUAUGAUUUGCAAAGAUUUUUGACAGUUUGUGAAAUUUUGUUAAGGUCAAUGUACAUUUUUUAUUGAAAAAUAUGUGAACAUUUAUUGGAACAAAUUUUAAAAAUAAUUCAAGUAAUUACACAGUAAAAAAACAACUAUAGCAGUUGUGCAGAACUUGCAUUGAUCAUGAGGAAAAAUUAAAAAAUGGCAUAGUGGACUGAACAGACAUUAAUAUAUUGAUUUUCUGUGUCGCGUGCUCUCCACUAGUGAGAUCAGUCUGCUCAAAACGAUGGACAGCAAGAGUAUACUGGCCAACAAUGGGCUGCCGCUGGGCACUGCGUCGAUCUUGAAUGCGGCCACCAAUGGCACCGAGACUGAAUUAAAAGGCUUGCGGCGCGCCACUGGCGCCUCAGUGAUACCACCGGAAAAACUCAGUUACUUAUUUGGCGUUUGGCGUAUGGAAGGUGACACGCAAAAUAAAACGUAGAACAAAAAUGGAUUUUCACUUAUUGUUUGUUUUUGACAUUACGCAAGGAAUUUGUUGGAAUUUUCAACUGAGUUUUGGUUUUCUACACACGGAUCCUUUAGUGCAUAAGUGAACUUGUGGCGUAUUAAAUAUUAAGUAUAUGUAUGUAUGUAUAUGUAUAUUGCUAUAGUAUUCGCAGUCGUUGGGCUAAAAAAUUUGAACUUUCCAUUAGAUAUUAAGUGUCUAUAUAAGUUUGUAGCUGAUAAAAGUACCAACGGUCAUACCUAUAACGGCUUUUAUGUAAAGUAAAUAUAAAUAUUUUUGUACUACUUCGAGUAUGGAAUUUUUUAAGAAUUUAUUGUAUAGUUUAUAUACAUAUGUAUGUAGGGAUUGAACGAAAUGAAAAUAAAGAUAUACAUAAGAAA